GCAGAAAGAUUGCAAGUGCAAUAUCAACAAAGAUUGCGUGGAAAAAAGAACAGUUUUUUAAGAACAGAUCAAUGCGUUUGAGUGUUUUUUCGAAAAGGAACUAAUUAUUUCAACGCGAAAAAGGUUGUUCGAGCGGAUCAUCGAGGGGGAAGCCCAAUAUAUCUCGCAAUUCACUGGAGGAUUGAGCAAAAACACGCUUUCGAUCGAGCGCCAAGUGACAUAUUUAUCCAGGAUUUGCCAAGUAUCAACGCAGGUGGUAGAACCGUAAAUCAUUUCCUGGUUGGAAAUCCGUAGAGGAAAAAAUAACAAACAAUCAACGCUUAUAAAAACCGAUAUGCGUGGGCGUGAUCAUAAUGCAGAUUGUGUGUUUAAAACAGUGGUAACUGGUGAAAUGCAUAUAUUUCAAGGAAUAUUUUGGAACAAAAUGUAUAACGAUGGGAAAAAGGGCGUUAGCCUCCUGAAAACAUUUCGUUGGUUGCGUUGGACUGGAAUUCCCGGGACGGUCUUCAAAUAUUGUGUACUCGCUGACGAAAACUGCUGCAAACUAAUAAAACCAUGAUUGAUUCCAAAUAAAUGUGCAAGUGAAUAAAAUUGGAACGCAACUGAAACAAAUUAUGAUUUGGUUUAUGAAAUUAUUCCAUGAACGAGAGAAAUAUAAAAUGCUUCAUAAAAAUAAUCAAAAUA